GACGAACGCUGGCGGCGUGCCUAACACAUGCAAGUCGAACGGAAAACAUAGCAAUAUGUUUUUAGUGGCGAACGGGUGAGUAACGCGUAGACAACCAACCUUUUUGUGGGGGACAACACUUCGAAAGGAGUGCUAAUACCGCAUAAGCUCUUGAUGCCGCCUGGUAUUAAGAGGAAAGGAGCUUCAAGGCUUCGCAAAAAGACGGGUCUGCGUCUGAUUAGCUAGUUGGAGGGGUAACGGCCCAACAAGGCGACGAUCAGUAGCCGGUCUGGGAGGAGGGACCGCCACACUGGGACUGAGAGACGGCCCAGACUCCUACGGGAGGCAGCAGUGGGGAAUCUUCCGCAAUGGACGAAAGUCUGACGGAGCGACGCCGCGUGAGUGAUGAAGGCCCUUGGGUCGUAAAGCUCUGUCAUCAGGGACGAACGGUCACGUCAGGAAAUGGGCGUGAAUUGACGGUACCUGAGAAGGAAGCCACGGCUAACUACGUGCCAGCCGCCGCAGUAAUAC
rnacentral:rRNA from 1 species